GACGUAGGGGGCCAGCGUUGCUCGGAAUUACUGGGCGUAAAGGGUUCGUAGGCGGUGCGGUAAGUCGGAAGUGAAAUCUCUGGGCUUAACUCAGAGGCUGCUUUCGAAACUGCCGUGCUAGAGUGCGGGAGAGGCGAGUGGAAUUGCAGGUGUAGCGGUGAAAUGCGUAGAUAUCUGCAGGAACACCCGUGGCGAAGGCGGCUCGCUGGACCGCAACUGACGCUGAGGAACGAAAGCUAGGGGAGCAAACAGG
rnacentral:ncRNA from 2 species